rnacentral:rRNA from 1 species
AUUGAACGCUGGCGGCAGGCCUAACACAUGCAAGUCGAACGAGUGGCGGACGGGUGAGUAAUGUCUGGGAAACUGCCUGAUGGAGGGGGAUAACUACUGGAAACGGUAGCUAAUACCGCAUACCAUCGGAUGUGCACAGAUGGGAUUAGAUAGUAGGUGAGGUAACGGCUCACCUAGGCGACGAUCCCUAGCUGGUCUGUGAGGAUGACCAGCCACACUGGAACUGAGACACGGUCAAACCUCCUACGGGAGGCAGCAGUGGGGAAUAUUGCACAAUGGGCGCAAGCCUGAGGCAGCCAUGCCGAGUGUAUGAAGAAGGCCUUCGGGUUGUAGAUUACUGUCAGCAGGGAGGCGUUACCCGCAUCAGAAGCACCGGCUAACUCCGUGCCAGCAGCCGCGGUAAUAC